AUCUACAUUAUUUAUUUGCAUAAACUAUGUCAACACAAUACAAAUUACACUGCACACUCAAAAGUAGCACUGCCAUUAAAACUAUGGUGCUGAAAGACGUCAUGACGUAAGAAAACUCUUUACCGAUCAAUUUGCUACGUCAUACAAUUGAACUGGAGCAAAAGGAAAAAACCGCCAUCGUGUUUACGCACGUCUAAGAUAAUCAUUGGUAAGAUAAUUGUAUUGAUGUAUUAAUACGAUUUGUAUAUAAUUAAGUACAAUCGUUCAUAUUUUCAUAUAGAUGCAUAUCUAUUACACACUGUUGAUACCCCCAAAGUAGUGUUGUAUCACACAUUUUACAAAAUGUCCAAGAAAAACAAUAAACACAAACAAAUAUUCAAAUUUUGGAUUUCAAAAAUUGUAAGUUUAUAAAACAUUUUUUCAAUCUAUUAGGUUCGUUUUUAAAAUCCACUUAUUUAAUUUUCAAGUAAUUCUUUGUGUUGACCGUCAGAAAUGGGUUGGAGAAAAAAAAAAAUCAAACGUGACAGACUUAUGAUAAAUCCGGUAAGUUUUAAAACGCGGUCCGAAAAUCGAUUGACAUCGUAUUUAUGUGUAUAUUUAUACGUACAGAACGAAAGUGAUAUUCGUUCAAUCGUAUAAGUAACGAUAUGGACACAUUUAUAUCAAAAUUCGUUUUCUUUGUUCGCCCGCGCCACAAGGAAAACAAAUGUAUACAUAUAUUUUUUUUAACACUAUAUUAAUAAAUUGUUCGCCGGGAGGGGGGGGGGAAACAACCACCGUCCAGAAUCACGUCCGUCCGUUAUGCGGCGCACGCCUACAGUGUGUGCACGCGCGGUCAUCACUCACGGCGUAACGCGAAACAUUGCAAGUACGCAGCGGUCCGCGGGAACGCCCGGGCCCCGUAGGUUUCCGCGGACUCGGCGGAUUCCUCCGGCGAGGUCAGCAAUGUCUCGACCCCAACGCAUCCCCAUUCGCGUCCGCUGUCCGUUCGGAUUACGUGAUAAAUAUACGUUAUUAAAAUAACGAAAAAAAUCACCACACGCGGUCGACAUCGAACGUCCAUUGACGUUGCCGGUCGUGUAUGGGCCGCUUUAUGAUCAUAAACAUUGUUGAUAUUGAAAAUAUCGAGUCCCGUAAAAUCGCGUAAUCCGUUAUUAUCGUACUGCCGCACGUAACCGUCACAUUUCCGACGGCGGCACAGAACACGUGCAGUCACAGUACUCGGCAGCGAUUAGCGACUGGUUAAGACAAUAGUUGCGCGACCACCGGUGUGUCUAUAUUUUGUUUUGGUGCGCGGGCAUUUCUAGCAUUUCGAUAACUGUGUUUUCUGUUUUCUUGUUCUACAUGUGUACGGAUUUCGUAUUAAAGUUGAUAAUCGAAGAACUCGAUAUACAAGUAAUCAAUAUGACUUUUUUUUCAUUAGUUCUGAAACCAAGUAAAACGGCAAUGCUUACGUACGUCAAACAAACCAUUGAUGUGCAAACUACCGUACACUUAACCAGGGCCAUUCUGAAUUCCAAUGAUACAAAUUGUGGGCGGGUCACUUUGAAAAUAAUGUUUCCGGUAUCGAGCAACCCGCAGUCACAACAAGAAAUACAGGUUUGUCACUUAGACGAAAGCAAUAGUUACCAGUCCAAUAUUGAUGUACAAUUGGAUAAAGGAUCAACUUAUACGUUUAUUAGUGAAAAACCAUGCACCAUAUAUCUUAGCGGCUAUUACUUAUAAUUGAAAAUUACGUUUCUGUGAUCAAUUUUGAUUCAGUUAAAUUAACAUAAUAAUUAAUAAUAGUCUCAAAAGUAAUAUAAUAUUGGUACUGUUCGUAUGUGUUUAAUAUUUUGAAGAAAAGACUGCAUUAUCUGUUUACUAAUUAAUUCUGUAGAUUAAUAGUUAUGACUUAUUAGAUGG